rnacentral:tRNA from 1 species
AGGCUGUAGUCCUGCGAACAUGGGUUUAAGUCCUGUUUCUAUCA